CUGCGAAGAAAUUCCGUUUCGCGGUCGACUGCGGGAUGAAUGUUAAUGUCUUGUCGGGAAUGGAUGGACGUCAAAGCAUCAUUUUUUCCCCUUUUGCUGACUGUUUUUGUACGAUAAAUCAAUUUAAUUUUAUCUUCAUUCUGCUUCAAGUAGUCGGAUGCUGAGCACAAACGUUACAGGGACCAAUCAAUCACGUUGGAAAUCGAAGUAAAAUAAAUACAUCCGAGUAAGUUUAUUAGUUAUUUUAAUUCUUUUUGUUUUACUUUUUGUUAUCUUAGUUUGUUUUACAUUUUUAUGGAUUUUUAAGCAAGUAUGUGAAUCCGAUGAGCUUAAUGUGUUAUACAUACACGCUCACACAUCUCUCUCUCUCUCUCUCUCUCUCUCUAUAUAUAUAUAUAUAUAUAUAUAUAUAUAUAUAUAUAUAUAAGAGAGAGAGAGAGAGAGAGAGAGAGAGAGAGAGAGAGAGAGAGAGAGAGAGAGAGAGAGAGAGAGAGAGAGAGAGAGAGAGAGAGAGAGAGAGAGAACGGUUGUAUACUGUCAAUUUAACGUGACAGUAGGGGAUUACACCACUGCUGUUUAGCCCUAGGAAGCAUCAAUGCUUCCUGUCGGCUUCGACACAUUUCCUGUGUCCUUAUAUAUUUACGAAGGGGAGACAAAUACCCCCAACAGUUAGGCCUGCAUCUAGAGACACGCAUGUUUCAGGAUGCGUGUCGUUCGAUCUUAUAAUAUAAAUAAUAUAUAAAUAUAGGCAUACAUACAUAUAUGCACAUACCUACAUCUAUAUGUAUAUAUACAUAUAUGGGUACUUAUAUGCAGAGUAGCACGAAACAGGGACAACUGAAGAAGGGGAAUAUUCCUUGAGUUGUAUGUCUUGUACUCUGUUUUUCGUUGUUUGAAAAAUAGUUCGUUUCCAUGUUUUUGUUUUUAUGUUUUCGUUUCUCAUUGUGUUCAACAUUUUUUUAUGUCCUGUACCAAUAUAUGCAUGUAUAUAUACAUACAUAUGUAUGUAGGUACAUAUAUGUAUGCAUAUAUGCAUAUAUUUAUAUAUUAUUUAUAUUAUUUAUAUAUAUAUAUAUAUAUAUAUAUAUAUAUAUAUAUAUAUAUAUAUAUAUAUAUAUAUAAUAGAAAUAUUAAAAUAACUAAGUCUCUCUAAAAGAGAACAGCGGCAGCGUUCCCGGAAAAUAAUAGUUAUCGCCAUACUAAUAUGGCAUUCUUAUAAAAAUAAGAAAAAAGCUGUCCGCUUAUUAGCUCCAUGAGGCCAUCGCCUUAAGUUAGCUAUUUGAUACACAAACUGUAUCCAUAUAACCUUCGAACAAGGGAGGUCAGUCGCUCCACACUACUUGACCGGCAGCUACAGACGCGUUUCGGGGUAUUGCCCCUUUUCAAUGCAGCGUAGCCAUGUAUGUAUGUAUGUAUGUAUGUAUGUAUGUAUGUAUGUAUGUAUGUAUGUAUGUAUUUAUGUAUGUAUGUAUGUAUGUAUGUAUGUAUGUAUGUAUGUAUGUAUGUAUGUAUGUAUAUAAAGGAAAUUCAAAGUUAUGGCCGGUCAUAGAGUGAGCCUUGGUUUUGCACCAAUAAAGUGCUUAGCCGUAUAGACAACUCGUCAGACUCAAGUCACCUACACUGCUAAGCGCUUUAUUGACGCGAAACUAAUGGUCACUCUGUGACCGGCCAUAACUUUGAACUUCCUAAAAGUAUAUUACUGUUUAGAGUGAGCUUCUUUUUUUGUUUUUAUUUAUUUAUUAAUUUUUUUUUUGAUAUAUGAACAACUGACGAGAUGUGUGUGUGUGUGUGUGUGUGUGUGUGUGUGUGUGUGUGUGUGUGUGUGUGUGUGUGUGUGUGUGUGUGUGUGUGUGUGUGUGUGUGUGCGAGGUAUUAGUAUCCAGAGGACCCAAGGUGACAACACAUGGAAUCUACGUCUCCACACUUUCUAUUUAUAAUGACAAAAUAUGAACUGCUAUCGGAAUUUACAGACCAUGGAUAAGAAGCAUUUCUACCCAUUCUACACACCACUUUCCUUGGAUAAUGGAACUGCAACUAAGACAUCCUACAUAUAUUUUUUUUUUAUUUUUACUUUUAUUCUCUUAUUUUCCUUUAUACUUCUUGUUUCCAUCCUUUCCCAAAAUAACUCCUUGUAUUGAACUCUCUACUAUUUCCCUCUUUGUAACCAUCUCACAUUAUCUCUGAUGUAAGGAGAUCCGUAAUAUCCCAGAUACAGCUGUAAGACUAACUUUCUCUUUAUAAAUGUCCUGAAAAUUCCACUCAGCCUUGGCCUUGUUGUCUCAUUUUAUUUAACCAGCCGAAAUUGCAAAGAUAAUCUGGAAUUCGGCUGAGGAAAGAAAACUCCGAAUGACCCGUCCUUGUAAUCUUUGUAUCGUCUAUCUGGAUGUUUUGCGUUCUUGUCCCAUUUUGUAUCAUAUAUAGAUAUAGAUAUAUAUAUAUAUAUAUAUAUAUAUAUAUAUAUAUAUAUAUAUAUAUAUAUAUAUAUAUAUAAUAAAAACAUAUAACUUGCUACAGGAAAUAACUCAACUCUCACUGUCUAGUACCAUCAUUCUGUUUCUAUCUAUUAGUUACAACACACACUCUCUCUCUCUCCCUCUCGCUCUCCUUCUCUCUCUCUCUCUCUCUCUCUCUCUCUCUCUCUCUCUCUCUCUCUCUCUCUCUGUAUAUGUAUUAUGCCGCACUCUUUGCUUUCAUUCUGUUUAAAGCCUCAUCUUCUAAUAUUUACUUUCAUUUGAUGAUAGCUUUUACGUACAAAUCCUGUUUUCUGAUUAGAUGAAAAAAAUUAUAAAACUUUAAACCUCUAUAACAUUUUUCUAAAAGUUUUCUGCAAUAAAUGAAUCAGAAACUGGGAUUCGGCGUGAAAAAGUAUUUCGGUAUACUGAAUUAGGAAAUUUUCGCAGAAUUUUAAAAUUUCAAAAUCUACGACUGCAGCAAAACACAUCUUUCUCACUCUAUCUCCCUCUCACUCUCUCUUUCUUUCUCUCUCCCCACCUCUCUCUCUCUCUCUCUCUCUCUCUCUCUCUCUCUCUCUCUCUCUCUCUCUCUCUCUCUCUCUCUCCCUUCUCUUUUAUUCGCUUUUCUGUAAAAACCGAAAUUUUAGGAUUGGGGGUGGGGCGUCAUGAUAAUUUUUUUCUUAUUUUACUAUUGUUUGAAAAAGGAAGUGAGUCCCGAAAUGAUGUUCGCCGAUUUCUAAUUUUUUUUUUUUUAACUUCAUGAAUUUUCAAAGAAAUUUUUUAUUAGAAAGGAGUCUUCCGUUGUUUUUAAGUGCAUAGUGCAAAAAUAAACUUGCUUUUGUAGGUGAGAAUGUGUACGAAUUUUGUGAGGUUUGUGGGUGGGUGUGUGUGCGUGCGUGUGUGUGCUUGUGUGUGCAUGUGUGUGUGACUUCUUUUUUUCUCUCUAUUUCUUUUCUUAUUUAUCUAUGUAUUUGCUUAUUGAACAACAUAACGGGGCAAACUUUUUUAAUUACCCACGUGACAUUAUUAUAAUUCCUUCUGGAACAUUUCAUAGGGAAAUACAUUUAUUUAUUUAUUUAUCAACAGCUAUAUAAACUCACAAGCCUUCGACCUGUGAUUAGUUUCAUAAGUACCAAAGUAGGAAACUCUCGCACCUUGAGUCACUCUGUUACUUCAGGUUAAAGAUAGAGCAUUCUAACCAGAUAUUAGAGGGGUGUGAGUUCGAUCUUCAUGGAAAGACAUAACGGCAACAUUGAGCAGGAUUAUGAAGAAUCGGUCUAAAGAAAAAUGGAAAGAGCUCAGUUUGGGUCCACAGCAAAAGUCAUAAGGGCUGCGGUGUUCGAAGUUACUGACAUUUGUUUGUUUGACAAACCCGGGGGAAAUAAACAUUCCAAUUAGCGAGCCGCUUAUUCGAGGGAAAUAUUGGAUAUAGCAAAACUUUUGGUUCACUUGAAUGCCCAUACCAGUGUCAGGUGGCUGGAUCGAUCUUGUGAUUGCUACGGGGUAACAGCCUGAGUUAUCUAUAGUGAACCAGCUGAUGUUCCAGCAUAAAAAAAUGGAAAAGAGGAGAGAUAAAGAAAAUUAUCUCUCUUUACACCAAAGAACAUCCAAUACAGAUGAGACUGAUAGGCUUUUAGCUUAUCGCGCUGUAAAGGGGGCAGUUGCAAAGAGGGGAAGAAGUCAAAGUGAGAAAUCUUGUCCUUUUGGUUUUUGGAAGAUAAAUAAAUGCAGGGAGAUUUCAAAAACAUUAAGUAUCUCCCGGUUGGAAUAUUAUGCCAACGAAUAGGCUUUGAUGACGAGAGAGAUGUUGACCCCUUGGCUCACUGAAGAUAAAAUUUAAUAUCUUAACUGUUGAUAAACAUUCGUUCUGCAGAUGAUAAAUUCCGCAGAUAAUGCUUAAGUGAAAAAGUGUUUCAUUUCUUUUUAAUUUGAGUCAGGAGUGACGUAAUGUCACUAGUUAAACAGAUGAUAGCAACAACAGCAUAGUAGACAGAAAACCAUGAAAUCGUCAUAAAAUGUGUGAAUAAGUUGGGAACAGAGCAAAAGUAGUGAGGAAAUUCAGUAUUUGCAGAAAUUGGAUUUAAGUUCUGGUAUUUUUUUCUUUUAUUGUAGACGGUUGUUGUUCGUAAUGAUAAAAUCUAAAUAACCGGGAUAUCACCGAAAGUUUUCACAAAUCAGAAAAGAAGCGGAAAAGAAAAGAAUGCUGGAAGUGGCUCUUCAACUCGGCAAAAAUAUAAUUUUAUCUGAAACUUAGUCAAGUAUCGAAAGAUUUACGCCAAUUCUAUUCUUCCUGCUCUUAGGUGUAGGGUUCCGUUUUUCAACAUGUGACGGUAAUUUAAAACUUCCUGUUAAAAUGCUAAUUCAGUUAAAUCUAAAAUAACCGGGUCUUUUGUGUUUUUGUUUGUUUGGGGGAGUUUUUAUUUUUGUUUUUCUUAUAUUUGUUUUGUUUUGUUUUUGUUUUGUUUUUUCUUUGUCGAAACAGCACUGAUAACAAGUUCCAUCCACUAAUGCAGCACUACCAAAAUAAAAGUUAUCUUCUUGCUGAUGUUGAGAUUUUCGUACUAAAGAAACGGUAAAAGUUCCGAACUUUGCAUUAGGCUGUCGACAUCCGCAAUGGCGAAAUGAAAUACGUGUCAAGUAAAUUGUCGGUAGCAAAACUAUGACCUUCGCACUCGUCCGAGGUGACAUUGGCAAGAAAAUCCUUAAACUUUAGUAAUGACCUGUUAUGUAUUUAAGAUAGCCAACGCAAUUGGGAAGUUCAAGCUUUUGACACCAACAAUGAAAUUAUAUCCUACUGUAAAUAAUAUUAAUAUAGAAAGAAAAACAGAAUGACUGACGGACAGAGAGACAGACAGAGCAACGGACAGACAGACAGAGAUCUACUUAUCUAAGUAUGUACUGUGUGUGUAUCAAAGGAGGUAAACUUUUAUGUUGGUGGUGGAGGAAGGAGUACAGAUGUUGAACGUAGAAACAUUAAACGAAACAACUGAUGGUGAAUGAAUUCAAAAUGUGCUUCACAGAACCUUGACACUUGAAGAUGUUCCACAAAAUAAACUCGUCAGUAUUGUAAGGAAUGAAUCGCCUAAAAUGUGAGGAAAAAUACAAAAUUUAUUGCACUUAUGAAAGUGCUCCUUGCUUUUCAGAGGUUCUCUGUUCAUUGAAUUUUAAGUGUAAAGAUAAAAUAUCUGUCCUUGAUAUUAAGUUCUUACAUUUAAAUGGAAAGACACAUCGCACAUUUCAAAAUUUUAUUAAAGAAUUCGGUGUUGGAUACGAACUCAUUUAUGUCCUUGUCCAUUGCUUUAAAUUAGUUUGUGGAUCUAUUUCAGUCUGUAACUACUUUUCUUAAAGAUAAAGAUCCUAUUGCCAACAAGGAAAUGAUGAAUGGAUGCAAGAUCUGAUGUUCCUUUAUGAUGUAAUAAAUAAUCAAAGAACUCUUAACUUGGAUCUCCAAG
rnacentral:lncRNA from 1 species